rnacentral:lncRNA from 1 species
UCCGAUUGCUAGAGAAGUCCGUCUGGAAUUUGUCUGAUGUAGAAGCUUGUCUGAAGACUGUCCGCUGGAGAGAUCCGGUUGCAUGAGGGAUCCGACAGAAGGUCAACCGAUAGCGGAACUCAGAAGGCAUUGCGGAAGUUCGUCAGCUGGAGGAGUUCCGAGGGAAUUUGUCCGUUGGAGGGGUCUGGUCGGCACUAUUGAAGUCUGGUUGGCGCUGUUGAAGGUUGAUGGCUGGAGAGGUACGGAAGACACUAGAGACAGUCGGUCAUUGUAGAAAUUCGGCUGCUGGAGCCCGUCUGUUGUAGAAGUUCGUCUGGAAUUCAUCUGCUGUAGAAGUUCGGACGGAGUCCGAUUCUUACAGGA